rnacentral:rRNA from 1 species
GAUGAACGCUGGCGGCGUGCUUAACACAUGCAAGUCGAGCGGGCAAUUUAUCUAGCACUGAUUACUUCAAAUGGAAAUCAUAAGUGUAAUCAUGAAUUUCUACCUUUAAUAAAGAAAAAAGAAAUUCAUGUACGCAAAUAGUGAUAACACAUUUUAGUGAAGUGAUGAGUGCUGGAUAAAUUGCUAGCGGCGGACGGGUGCGUAACACGUGGGUAACCUGCCCCUAUCACUGGGAUAACACACUGAAAAGUGUGCUAAUACCAGAUAAUAUAAGCUUUUGGCAUCAUUAGCUUAUCAAAGAAUUUCGGAUAGGGAUGGGCCCGCGUCUGAUUAGCUAGUUGGUGAGGUAACGGCUCACCAAGGCAACGAUCAGUAGCCGACCUGAGAGGGUGAUCGGCCACACUGGAACUGAGACACGGUCCAGACUCCUA